CCUACGGGUGGCAGCAGUGAGGAAUAUUGGUCAAUGGCCGAGAGGCUGAACCAGCCAAGUCGCGUGAGGGAAGACGGCCCUACGGGUUGUAAACCUCUUUUGUCGGGGAGCAAAGCGAACCACGUGUGGUUCAUUUAGAGUACCCGAAGAAAAAGCAUCGGCUAACUCAGUGCCAGCAGCCGCGGUAAUACGUAGGGGGCAAGCGUUAUCCGGAUUCACUGGGUGUAACGGGAGCGUAGACGGCCAGGCAAGUCUGGAGUGAAAGCCCGGGGCCCAACCCCGGGACUGCUCUGGGAACUGUCCGGCUGGAGGGCGGGAGGGGCAGGCGGAAUUCCUGGUGUAGCGGUGAAAUGCGUAGAUAUCAGGAGGAACACCGGCGGCGAAGGCGGCCUGCUGGACCGCGACUGACGUUGAGGCUCGAAAGCGUGGGGAGCGAACAGGAUUAGAUACCCCAGUAGUC
rnacentral:rRNA from 1 species